CGAAAUGCGAUAAUUACUGNGAAUUGCCGAAUUCAGUGAAUCAUCGAAUCUUUGAACGCACCUUGCA
rnacentral:rRNA from 1 species